GUGAGGUACACACUACCAACUACUCCAUUGGUAAUCGGAUCUAUAGGAGCAUUAGGAGACAGAAAGGUGCUAAAGCUGUGGGGCUGGAUGUUAGGUUUGUGUGAGUUUGCCAGCAUGGCUGAAUAUUGAACAGUGGAUGAAAGCAAGUGCUGAAGAAUUAGCAGCAUUAGAGUCUGAACAUUACCCUAAUGAGCUGGAAUUGCAUCUGUACUUUAGGGGAAAUGUGACUCAUAACUAGGACCGGGUAAUAAGCCGGAGCUCUUUUUAUAUGCUUGGGUAGAAUAUUGUAGUAACCAUUUUAGCUUUUAUAUAAACUGCAUCAAAAUGGCAUUGGUUCAGAGCAAUUUACUGGAUGAUGAUGAUGAUGCAGAGGCAGCCCACCAUCUCAGUCUAAUCAUGUACUCCUCACCUCAGUGAAGAAGAGAAAUCUUUGGUAUGGGAAUAAAACGCAUAUUCAACACAUAAUGGUACCUAAAUAAAUCAAUUAUCUGCAGAGUCAAGCAGGUUCUGUAGUCGUGAAACAUUUUAACAAGCGAAUGGGUGUGUAUUGUUAGCACAGUUAUUUGAUCUUACUGGUGAAACUCACAAACAGGACUUCAGUCUUCAUCCUUCAUCAUUUUCUAUCUAUAAUUUUUUAUUUUGUUUAUUCUCAUUUACAAUUCUUGGUUUCCAGGCUUUUCCUAAUGAAUCUUGGGGGGUUUCCUGAUAAAUGGCUGUACAUAUAGCUUCUCAUAGAAACAGUGAGGAUAAAUUCUGCACACUGCACCUCUAAGAAUGUAAAAAUGGGUGACAAAUUGAAGGAAAUUACUGAACAUUUGUCCACUAAUUGAGAGGAUCUGAUGGUUCUGUUUUGUUUUGGGCAUGAUUUAGCACACCUUUUUUCCUGAGAUCAGCAAUAGUCCAGAUCCAGACCCAGAUGCUGUUUUUUUUUUUUUUUUUUUUUUUUUAUGCGCCCAGACCUAUUACUAGACUUUGACUGACCUUUUUAACCUUCCUUGAAUUUACCAUGGGGCUUUAAUCUGUAUAGUGUUUUCUUUUGUCUGUGAUGGGAUGCUACUCAGCAAAUCAAAUCAUUUAUUCAGAGCGCGUAUGAAAACAAAAAACUCUGCCAGGAGAUGAGAUGCAGAACUCAUCUCUAGGGUUAGAUGUAAGGUCAUCUGUCCAGUCAUCCCUUUCCUCACUUUAUGAGGAAAAAGGGGGAGUUAAUGCCUAGAUGGUUAGAGAAAUACAAGAUAAAGGGAAACUUACACUACACCUUUUACCCCUCACACGUAAAAGCCUAAUGGGGUUUUGUCAAAAACCCGCCAGGUUGGCAGGCAACAUGAACACCCACGUUUGGGAAUGGGAUAAAUCGAGAACUAAGCGACCUCAAGGUCAUAGGUCAAGUUUUCAGAAAAUCUUGUGAAUUGAAUAACUUGAGAACGAAGUGACGUAGGAUUUUCAAAUUGAUACCAUAGGUGAAUCUACUGGGAGGCCAAGGGGUGCCACUGGCUACAGUCACCAUUUUUUUUCUAAAGUCAGCUUUUUCAAAAGCUUUUUUUUAAAGUUCAGAAUGCAAACUUAUUUUACUUGAAAUGAGAAAAGAACAUUUUACUUUUAGAGUACCCUCUAGGUCAUUGUGACAAUUUAUUUGUCUUACACACCCAACCAAACAGCAAAU
ensembl:lncRNA